rnacentral:rRNA from 1 species
CCUACGGGUGGCAGCAGUCGAGAAUCAUUCACAAUGGGGGCAACCCUGAUGGUGCGACGCCGCGUGGGGGAAUGAAGGUCUUCGGAUUGUAAACCCCUGUCAUGUGGGAGCAAAUUAAAAAGAUAGUACCACAAUAGGAAGAGACGGCUAACUCUGUGCCAGCAGCCGCGGUAAUACAGAGGUCUCAAGCGUUGUUCGGAAUCACUGGGCGUAAAGGGUGCGUAGGCUGUUUAGUAAGUCGUGUGUGAAAGGCGCGGGCUCAACCCGCGGACGGCAGAUGAUACUGCGGGUCUAGAGGAAUGGAGGGGGAAGCGGAAGGCGCGGUGUAGCGGUGAAAUGCGUAGAUAUCGAGAGGAACACUCGUGGCGAAGGCGGGUUCCUGGACAUUAACUGACGCUGAGGCACGAAGGCCAGGGGAGCGAAAGGGAUUAGAUACCCGUGUAGUC